GACGAACGCUGGCGGCGUGCUUAACACAUGCAAGUCGAACGGUGAUGCUCCAGCUUGCUGCAGUGGAUCAGUGGCGAACGGGUGAGUAACACGUGAGCAACCUGCCCCAGACUCUGGAAUAAGCGCUGGAAACGGCGUCUAAUACUGGAUACGAAACUGGCCCGCAUGGGCAUGGUUUGGUAAGUUUUUCGGUUUGGGAUGGGCUCGCGGCCUAUCAGCUUGUUGGUGAGGUAAUGGCUAACCAAGGCGACGACGGGUAGCCGGCCUGAGAGGGCGACCGGCCACACUGGGACUGAGACACGGCCCAGACUCCUACGGGAGGCAACGGUGGAGAAUAUUGCACAAUGGGCGAAAGCCUGAUGCAGCGACGCCGCGUGGGGGAAGACGGCCUUCGGGUUGUGAACCUCAUUCAGCAGAGAAGAAGCGAUAGUGACGGUACCUGCAGAAGAAGCACCGGCUAACUACGUG
rnacentral:rRNA from 1 species